rnacentral:rRNA from 1 species
UACGGAGGGGGCUAGCGUUGUUCGGAAUUACUGGGCGUAAAGCGCGCGUAGGCGGACCUGCAAGUCGGGGGUGAAAGCCCGAGGCCCAACCUCGGAACUGCCUUCGAUACUGCGGGUCUCGAGUCCGGGAGAGGUGAGUGGAAUUCCUAGUGUAGAGGUGAAAUUCGUAGAUAUUAGGAAGAACACCAGUGGCGAAGGCGGCUCACUGGCCCGGUACUGACGCUGAGGCGCGAAAGCGUGGGGAGCAAACAGG